GUCAGUGCAUGUUGUUACCAUAGCAACCACAAGCCGAGCCGAGCCGUGUUCGUCGACGAUGCUGGUGCUGGGUAUUUUGCAGGCGGAGGAUGAGGAGGAGACAGAAAGCGUAACUAUUGCGCAAACCAGAAGAGGAGGUGUUCGAUCCACUCGAUGAAGAAGGGAGAAUGACUGACUGGCCGUGUCUGAAUCAGUUCCCUCGUUUAUGUGUUUCCUCAAACCACCCAGACAGACAUGACAGUUCAAAACCGCUGUUAUUUCUACCAGAUCGCAGCCAGGCUGCAGGCGGCGGCCCUGCUGCUGACAUCAUCAUCCAUACCUGCAGUAACACCUGUCUGUUUCCAGCUCUGAGUUCAUCUAUUGCUCAGAAAAUGACUUUUGAUACAUCAGUACGUUUAAUGAGAUACUUUUACUUGAAUCCUGUCUGUGAGGGAGCACCAAUAACACUCAAACGCAGAGAUAUCACACAACUCAUUACACUUACUGUGCACAUCAGGCUUUAUGAGUGUACGUAUGCAUGGAGGCACCUGUGUGUGUGUGUGUGUGUGUGUGUGUGUGUGUGUGUGUGUGUGUGUGUGUGUGUGUGUGUCCGUAUAAAGUCAAAUAUAAUGAGACCUCCCUCAGCCUCGGAUCUGCUCAGUCACUGCAAAAGCAGAGACAGAGAGAGAGAGACGGCAUCAUCUGCAAUUCAAAUGAGCAUUUCGCUGAUUAGUUAACGGAGCCAAAAGGUCCUAAUACAGUCAAGUAAUGACUGAAAUGCAAUUUCCAUUCAAUCAAUGUUUUUAUUUAUAAUGAGCGAUAUGGAACUCUGCAGCAAAGCAAGAGGACAGAUGGAACUUUUGCAAAUGCUCUCUUAAGCGAACACGCAAACGAGCACACGCGCCCGUUUUGCUCUGAGUGCGAGAUAAUUGGCAAGAUAUGGGGCAAAAAAUGUCUUUUGCUGCUGAGCCUAAUUAGGGAGAGAACAUUUUCAUAGCUGCCAAACAACAGUAGACAAACCAAAGGUGCCCUAUAAAGAAUCUGUGGCUUCAUUAUAAUGUGACAACACGGAGUUCAUCUGUUGCUGCCGACAGAGGAGCGACUGCGACAACCCUGACAGCCAAAGAUCAGGAAUGCUAAUGUGAAAAGUUCUCCUACAGAUGAAAACUUGUAAAGAAGGGAAAAAAAAAAUGUAAAAAGCAAUAAAGGCUGGAACAAGGCUGCGGCGCGAGCAUCACAGGAGAUCAAUACGCUGACGGUCGCUUCGAUCGGUGGGAGGCGGUACUGGAGGAGUUUUGAUGAAGCACCGCGGGUCAAAGGUCGCUGUUGGCAUUGAUCACUAACAGCUGAAGAUCAUCAGAGCGCCCGUCCUGCUGGAUCAAUGAUGCAUUUCCCCAAAAAAUGAUUUAUGGAGGGCAUUUUUUUUUUUCUUAGUAAAGGUUCCUCCCCAUUUACAGCAAAAUGACUGGGAGCAGGUAGUCCAAAAACAGAACCGUGUUCGGAUGAAUUUGCACGUCAAAAGAGCCAAAACAUAACAAACUUUUCUCCACUUUUUUUGGGGGGGGUUGAAGUGGAAAAUUUCCACGUCGAAUUUAAAGAAAUGAAGAUGCUGCUGAGACAGAUUUCUCAAAUGCACCUUGACGUGGUGGUUCCUGCCUCCGCGUCUUCUCUCACAGGCAAAGAAAGACCAGAAUAUCAGAUAUAAAAAUGACGUUUGAGUUCAGAUCGCGGCGUGAUGGGACAUUUUUUUUAUUUUUUUCAUGUGUCCUGUCAGGGCGCCUUCACGAAGCCGUAACACUGUCACUGAAAUCUUCAGAUUUAAGUUAUAUACUCUGGUCACAGCCUCAAAAUGUUUCUCUAACAGAUUGAAACAAGCAGUGAUGGACAUUUUAUUUUGCAGACAUUUCAGAAUUUGUUGUAAAUCUCUGAAGCGAUUGAAUAAAAACGUAACUACAGAUGGA